UUGGGUUGGCUGAAAAGUUCGUUUGGGUUUUUCCAGAACAUCUUAUGGAAAAAUCUAAAGGAAUUUUUCAGCUGACACAAU
rnacentral:pre_miRNA from 1 species